AUUGCACGCUGGCGGCAGGCCUAACACAUGCAAGUCGAGCGGAGCGGCGGACGGGUGAGUAAUGCCUAGGAAUCUGACUGGUAGUGGGGGAUAACGUCCGGAAACGGGCGCUACUACCGCAUACUAUCAGAUGAGCCUAGGUCGGAUUAGCUGGUUGGUGGGGUAAAGGCCUACAAAGGCGACGAUCCGUAACUGGUCUGAGGGGAUGAUCAGGCCCACUGGAAACGAGACACGGUCCAGACUCCUACGUGAGGCAGCAGUGGGGAAGAUUGGACAAUGGGCGAAAGCCUGAUCCAGCGAUGCCGAGUGUGGGAAGAAGGUCUUCGGAUUGUAAAGCACUUUAAGUUGGGAGGCGUUACCUACAGAAUAAGCACCGGCUAACUUCGUGCCAGCAGCCGCGGUAAUUC
rnacentral:rRNA from 1 species